UACGUAGGGGGCAAGCGUUGUCCGGAUUUAUUGGGCGUAAAGCGCUCGCAGGUGGUUCGUUGCGUCGUGCGUGAAAGACCCCGGCUCAACUGGGGAGGGUCGUGCGAUACGGGCGAACUGGAGGCCAGUAGGGGGAUGCGGAAUUCCGGGUGUAGUGGUGGAAUGCGUAGAGAUCCGGAGGAACACCAGCGGCGAAGGCGGCAUCCUGGACUGGUCCUGACACUCAGGAGCGAAAGCGUGGGGAGCGAACCGG
rnacentral:rRNA from 1 species